UGGGGAAUAUUGGACAAUGGGGGCAACCCUGAUCCAGCAAUGCCGCGUGUGUGAAGAAGGUCUUCGGAUUGUAAAGCACUUUCGACGGGGACGAUGAUGACGGUACCCGUAGAAGAAGCCCCGGCUAACUUCGUGCCAGCAGCCGCGGUAAUACGAAGGGGGCUAGCGUUGCUCGGAAUGACUGGGCGUAAAGGGCGUGUAGGCGGUUUACACAGUCAGAUGUGAAAUCCCCGGGCUUAACCUGGGAGCUGCAUUUGAUACGUGUAGACUAGAGUGUGAGAGAGGGUUGUGGAAUUCCCAGUGUAGAGGUGAAAUUCGUAGAUAUUGGGAAGAACACCGGUGGCGAAGGCGGCAACCUGGCUCAUGACUGACGCUGAGGCGCGAAAGCGUGGGGAGCAAACAGGAUUAGAUACCCUGGUAGUCCACGCUGUAAACGAUGUGUGCUAGAUGUUGGGUAACUUUGUUAUUCAGUGUCGCAGUUAACGCGUUAAGCACACCGCCUGGGGAGUACGGCCGCAAGGUUGA
rnacentral:rRNA from 1 species